GACGAACGCUGGCGGCGUGCUUAACACAUGCAAGUCGAACGAAGAGCGAUGGAAGCUUGCUUCUAUCAAUCUUAGUGGCGAACGGGUGAGUAACGCGUAAUCAACCUGCCCUUCAGAGGGGGACAACAGUUGGAAACGACUGCUAAUACCGCAUACGAUCUAACCUCGGCAUCGAGGAUAGAUGAAAGGUGGCCUCUACAUGUAAGCUAUCACUGAAGGAGGGGAUUGCGUCUGAUUAGCUAGUUGGAGGGGUAACGGCCCACCAAGGCGAUGAUCAGUAGCCGGUCUGAGAGGAUGAACGGCCACAUUGGGACUGAGACAUGGCCCAGACUCCUACGGGAGGCAGCAGUGGGGAAUCUUCCGCAAUAGACGAAAGUCUGACGGAGCAACGCCGCGUGAGUGAUGACGGCCUUCGGGUUGUAAAGCUCUGUUAAUCGGGACGAAAGGCCUUCUUGCGAAUAGUUAGAAGGAUUGACGGUACCGGAAUAGAAAGCCACGGCUAACUACGUG
rnacentral:rRNA from 1 species